AGAAUGAUCAUUAUCUUCUUCAAUCUGGACAGACAACAAGUGGUUGAUGGUAGUAUGAAAAAUGAAUAGUGACACAUGAAUGAAAAUGAAGGACAUAUAGAUUUUCAAUGUCAAAAUCAACAACAAAACAGCAAACAGCUUCCCUAAUUGUCACAAUACAGGGGAAAGAGGAGGACAGGAAAAAAUCCCCAAGCAGGUGUUCCAAUAACAGGGUAAAAUUAACUCAGAAACCUUCCACAAACUGGAUUCAAGAAGUCAUCACUCUCUUUAGUCUUUACAACAUGUUUCCAACGCAAUUUACCAUCCCUCAACAAUUUGCAAACGCUUCUACCAAUAUUACAAAUAUUAUUAGCAAUUUAAUGCUAAACAAGCAGGUAAACAUCAACUAGAUUUCAGUAGAAACUAAGCAAUAUAAAUAGGAGAUGACUGAUGGUCAAAUUUUCCCCCUCCAGGUCAUGAAAUGUAGGAGGUAUCAACAAAUUUUUAUGUUUCCUUUCCUAGAAUAAAUGAACUAUCAUUACUUCAUAUAGUAGAGUACAAAGCAGCUCUACUCAACUAGCCUUAAUUCCAAACAAGUUAGGUUCAGCCAGAUUGAUUGUUAUUCAUACAGCUUUGUUUAGGGCUUUAUACUAAAGGAAAUAUUUCAGUUUGUGUUUAAAGGAUUGUUGUAACCAAGCAAACAUUCACAUCUACAGAUUGAAAGCUUAUGCCUCAUUCUAAAUAUCUCCUGCCAAGCUGCAUAAAUCACCUCCACUUCUGAACAACAAUGGUAGUUAGGUUUGACUGAUUAACAAAGAAGUUAAUAAUGAAGGUAAACAUAGUUACACCAUAUGAUUGAAGAAAGUUUCAAAAUACAAGAAUUCACUUGCAUGAUUUUGCAAUAUUCAUGUUACUUAACCAAAAAGGGAAAAAAAGUCAGUUUAGAUAUCUACCGUUUCAAAAGCCUAUAUUUAAAAGAAUAAAACAAGAAAAUGCUUUCCCUAUAUCUCUUUGUAAAGCUUUGUUCAAUAAGAAUAAACACCGCAUGUACAGGUAAGCAUGAAAAUGUUUGCAAAGUAGAACAGUUGAUAAAGCCAAUAACUAGAGGCCAGCAAGUGUGAAAUUGGAAGAAAACAGAUACAUAAAUAUAAUAAUUGGCCACAUAAAAUAUUUUAACUCUUACAAGUUUUCCUAUAGCAUCAUAGCU
rnacentral:misc_RNA from 1 species